CACUUAUGUAUUUGACUCACUUCAAACUCAAUAGAAUUACUGAAAUAUAAAUUUACUGACAGAAUGGAAAACUACACAAUAGAAUUUAUAGCAAUUGCCAUAUGAACUGCUGUGAUCAGAAUAAAAGCAUCAACUGUUACUGCCCAAACUGCAAUCUCAUGAUAAUACUUAAUGUAAACCGAUAAAUAAAUAGGGUAAAGUUGUUGUUUUUUUAAAUGUUUGAAUUUUCUUGGCCUUGGUACAAAACUUUAUGCCUCAUACCAUUUUAAAAAUUAAAAAUUGGGGGCGGGGCCUGACUAGCAUGG